AGGUCUUGACAUCCGAUGCUAUUUCUAGAGAUAGAAAGUUACUUCGGUACAUCGGUGACAGGUGGUGCAUGGUUGUCGUCAGCUCGUGUCGUGAGAUGUUGGGUUAAGUCCCGCAACGAGCGCAACCCCUAUUGUUAGUUGCCAUCAUUCAGUUGGGCACUCUAGCGAGACUGCCGGUAAUAAACCGGAGGAAGUGGGGAUGACGUCAAAUCAUCAUGCCCCUUAUGACCUGGGCUACACACGUGCUACAAUGGUUGGUACAACGAGUUGCGAGUCGGUGACGGCGAGCUAAUCUCUUAAAGCCAAUCUCAGUUCGGAUUGUAGGCCGCAACUCGCCUACAUGAAGUCGGAAUCGCUAGUAAUCGCGGAUCAGCACGCCGCGGUGAAUACGUUCCCGGGCCUU
rnacentral:rRNA from 1 species